UCACAAUGAAAACUCUUACAAAUGCUUUUGUUCUGCUCCUCCUGGCGUUCCUAGCGAACGGCUUUCUGCCUGUACAAGCCGACGAAAGCCAAAGAAACGUUAACCAGUGGGAAGCCUGGAAGGACCAAAUCCAGUCGGCGUCCGUACGUACCAGUUCUAAGCCAAACCAUCACUGAGUUGAGUCUCCCAUUGAUGACGAGCGAAACCGUCACCUUUGCUUCGAACUACUUUGAAGGAGAAAUAAAUUUGCUUUAUUUGUAACAAA